UCUUAUUAAGAGUGGUGGAGAGUGAGGCUCUGUGAAACCACGGCAACCCCAUAUGUGGAAGGUGCCAAUCUGAGCGAGCAAUCGAAC
rnacentral:ncRNA from 1 species